GUUUAGCUCAGGGUUGGUAAGUAGAGUCCAGGACACCACUCCUCCAGCCCUCCUCCUCUCCUCCUGUCGUCUGAAGGCCUAGUAUAGUUUAGCUCAGGGUUGGUAGGAGAGUUCACGGUGGAUAUCAAGUCUCCUGAAGAAAGAACUUCACAUUUUCACAACACGGUGAAAGCAAUAUGGUGGAAAGUAGUCAAGGAGUCUAUUUCCACACUAUGCUAUUUUUUUCAGUCUUUAAUCUAAUGCAGACGAGGAGACGAGGAGAGGAGAACAACGUUAGACUAUUGAGACUCACCCCCUAGAACAGUUAAACCUCUCGUCUCCUUACCAAUCACUUCAAACUUCCCUGUCCUCUUCAUAAAGGAGUCACUAGAGCUGUCCC